AUUGAACGCUGGCGGCAUGCCUUACACAUGCAAGUCGAACGGCAGCACGGGGGCAACCCUGGUGGCGAGUGGCGAACGGGUGAGUAAUGCAUCGGAACGUGUCCUCUUGUGGGGGAUAACCAGUCGAAAGAUUGGCUAAUACCGCAUGAGAUCGAGAGAUGAAAGCGGGGGACCCGAGGUAACUUCGGGCCUCGCGCGAGAGGAGCGGCCGAUGCCGGAUAGCUAGUUGGUGGGGUAAGAGCCUACCAAGGCGACGAUCCGUAGCUGGUCUGAGAGGACGACCAGCCACACUGGGACUGAGACGCGGCCCAGACUCCUACGGGAGGCAGCAGUGGGAAUUUUGGACAAUGGGCGCAAGCCUGAUCCAGCCAUGCCGCGUGUGUGAAGAAGGCCUU
rnacentral:rRNA from 1 species